CCGGAGGGUGCAAGCGUUGUUCGGCAUCCCUUGGCGUAAAGGGCGCGUAGGCGGUUUGAUAAGUCAGAUGUGAAAGCCCACGGCUUAACUGUGGAAGUGCAUUUGAAACUGUCAGACUUGAGUAUCAGAGGGGAAAGUGGAAUUCCCGGUGUAGAGGUGAAAGGCGAAGAUAUCGGGAGGAAUACCGGUGGCGAAGGCGACUAUCUGGCUGAAUACUGACGCUGAGGCGCGAAAGCGUGGGGAGCAAACAG
rnacentral:rRNA from 1 species